rnacentral:rRNA from 1 species
CCUACGGGAGGCAGCAGUGAGGAAUAUUGCUCAAUGGGCGCAAGCCUGAACCAGCCAAGCCGCGUGAAGGAUGACUGCCCUCCGGGUUGUAAACUCUUUCUAUAAAGGGAUAAAGUGAUGCACGUGUGCCUUUUUGUAUGUACUUUAUGAAUAAGGAUCGGCUAACUCCGUGCCAGCAGCCGAGGUACUACGGAGGUUACGAGCGUUAUCAGGAUUUAUUGGGCUUAAAGGGAGCGUCGAUGGGUAGUUAAGUGAGUUGUGAAAGUUUGUGGCUUAACCGUAAAAUUGCAAUUGAUACUGGGUGGCUAGAGUACAGUUGGGGGAGGCGGAAUUCGUGGUGUAGCGGUGAAAUGCUUAGAUAUGACGAAGAACUCCGAUUGCGAAGGCAGGUUCCUGGACAUGAACUGACGCUGAGGUACGAAGGCCAGGGGAGCGAAAGGGAUUAGAUACCCGUGUAGUC